ACACGACUACAUUAGAUACCCCCGUAGUCCCUAGCCGUAAACGAUACUCGCUAGGUGUCGGCCACGGUGCGACCGUUGUCGGUGCCGUAGGGAAGCCGUGAAGCGAGCCACCUGGGAAGUACGGCCGCAAGGCUGAAACUUAAAGGAAUUGGCGGGGGAGCACAACAACGGGUGGAGCUUGCGGUUUAAUUGGAUUCAACGCCGGAAAUCUUACCGGGACCGACAGCAACAUGAAGGCCAAGCUGAAGACUUUGCCGGAUUAGCUG
rnacentral:rRNA from 1 species